CUCCUCACAUUUGGAAAAAAAAAAAAAAAAAACCCAGUGCAGGAAGCAAUCCCCUCCAGUUGUCAAUGAGCAGAAUAAACAAAAGGACAAAUCCAUUAGGAAGGUCCUUCCCCACCGCGAUGCCCGGUGCAUAGUAGGUGCUGGGUAAGUAAAUAUUUGUCGACAAGCUGCUAGAUUAUAGGCCCUGGGAUGGCGAGGACAGUGUGCAUGUCUAUUUUAUUCACUAGCGUGCUCCUUCAGCUUAACAUCAUAGCAGGCACGAAAUAGAAGCUCAUUCAUUCAUCCAGCAGCUGCUCUGUGCCGGGAUUACUCGGGGCCCCGUAUAAAUAUUUGUUGUAUUAGCUAGUGCUUUCACACAGACGUGAUUGAAUAAAUAAACGGAUAAAUGACUGGAAAAAAACAAUAAGCCCAUCAACCCACCAGCCAAUAACCAAUUUCAUUUCCCUUUGUUCUAGUUCUAGAACACUAAGCCUUGAGAUGUCUCUCCCUGUACUUCUUCUCACUUGCUUUGCUGGCUCUGAUGAAUCUUCCCAUCUCUGCCUCCCCAAACCGUGAAGUGUCAGUUCGUGUGCCAUUUCGUUGAAUCAUCCCAUCUGGUGAGGAGCCCGGAGGGUCCAGAAAGCACAGAGCCGAGAUGUGAGCUCCUCUGGCUCGCUCCGGAGCCCAGCCACGCAUGCUGCAUUCACUUAACAAGCUCUCCCGGAGGACCUGUGUG
rnacentral:lncRNA from 1 species